rnacentral:tRNA from 1 species
UGGUAAUUAGUUUAAUAUAAAACAAAUGAUUUCGACUCAUUAAAUUAUAAGAGUAUUUAUAAUUACCAA